rnacentral:sRNA from 1 species
UGUGUGUGUGUGUGUGUGUGUGUGUGUGUGUGCGUGUGUGUGUAAUAUACAUGAUAAUGUCUGGUAUGUUUACUGACAGAGGGCAGAGGAAGACAUAAUGCAUCUUUCUCUACCACUCUUUCUUUUUCCCAUGAUACAGGGAUACUGUGUCCCAACUUUUACAGACAUAUUAAUAAAUCUUUUUCCAUAGCUACUCAAUUUGAACACAUUAUUGUACGGGAAUUCCCUUAAUUAAUUGAUUGAGUAAUAAAGAUGAAAAGAAGCCAAUCAUUGAAUGAGAAGGAGGAGGUGAAUCUUCCAGGUCCUAGAUAGGAAAAGGGGACUAAGGAAGAAGAAACAGGCUUUAAACAGGGAGGCAAGAGGGAGAGGAGGCAGGAUAUAGACUGGGAACUGUUAGCCCUGGUAGCAGCCUCCCCCACAAGAAGAUUUCUAACAUAGAAUAAUUGGUGAGUUUAGAAGGAUAGAUUUCACAUCUAGUGGUUGUGUCAUCUGUUUAUUUUAAACAAAGAGUACUGGUGUUUUCCAUUUUAAGUGACCUAGAUGAGCAUGAGGGAAAGAACAUAGCCAGGCGGCAUUCAGCUAGGGUUUUGAAUGGAAAGAAAAGUCCAAGCUCCAGAGGAGAGGAAACCACUGGAGAGCCCAGGCUGGCAAGAAUGUGCCCGGAACUGGCUAUGGGGUGGUGAACUGGCAAGAGAGUGAUCUUGGAGAUCAAGAGAGGUAGAGCUGGCAUUUGUAAGAGAGGCGUUGGCUAGGAAAAACACACAGUCAUGGAUCUCAGACUCUGUACUAGGAUAGGAACAGACACCGCCAAUGCCAAUACAUAGCUGACUUUAGCAUGGGUUCAUUUUAAAAGCUACAUGGCUCCAAUUACUCAUAACCUCCAAAGCGUGUGAAUAGUCCAAUGGACAUAGUAAGGUUUUUCAAAAUUUGGCUUAAAAUAUGUACCUUGUUCCAUCAGCUAUACUAUAAAGAGUGUGUAAAAAACAAAUCUAGCUAUAAUCCCAGUAAGGAAAAUAUAUAUUAUUUAUUUGUUUUGAUGAGCAUUCAUUUUUUUCUAUGCCUUUUACAUGUUUUGGUAUGUCUUGACAGAAAUUCAUAUUAAAAAAUGUACAUACCACGAAAAAAAAUAGUAUUGUAUUCAAGGCUGAAAAAGUUACUUUCAAGUAAGAAAUUCUGUAUUUCUUAGUGCAUUUUCUUUGUUUUCUUCUUUUCCUUUCUUUGCUCUCAAAGUAAGUACUUAAGAGAAUUUAAUGUGUGUUUAGAUCUGUGUGUCAGGCAGGCCACAGGGAGGGAUGACUGUGUUCCCCUUUACUGCAAGUUUGGAAGCUUUAGAUUCCUGGGACUUCUAGCUUACAUGUAGGUUCUAAGCGUCUCAAUUGGGGAAAACGCAUGCUGUUAUUCAACGUCACAACUUCCCUCCAUGUUGUUCAGGAACCCUGGCACUCAAGGGAAGUGAUGGUAAAGAGAGGUCAGAGAGGCCUGGGCGGGUGGGGUGGAAGGCUGUCCCAGCGUGAAGCAGAUAUUCCUGCGCUGUCUCCUGGGAGACAACCUGGCUUCCUCCUUAGCCCCAGGAGUCUAUGCAAAAGAGAAACGCCAAGGAAAGUGUCUUUAGGAAAAGAAAAGAUGAAAAUAUCUACUUAAAUCCGGUAGUUUUUAAAUUCCUUUGUACUUGUCGGAAGUUAAUUUUCAAUAACAGUGCAGCUUUCUCAACAUAUAUUCAUCAGCUUGAAGUGCGCUUUAAAUCUUUAUCCACUGCUAACCAAUGUACCAAGCUCUUAUGCGUUGCAAAGGUCGUACACGAGUGUUCUUGCUUUUCUCCAAACAUAAAGGAGUCAAGACUUUUAGUUCCCUCUGUGCACACCGUUACCUGUUUCAAAGUUUAUAAACAGUAUAUUUCCUGAACAACCCACAUAAAGUUAUUUUCAAACAUUUUUCAAAGAAAAUAACUUUAUGAAAAUAGCCAGGUGUUUUGACAUUUGCUAUAGGAGUCACUCUUUGUAUAUUUUGGAGACUCCUUAUAUAAACAGCAAAGACAGAAGAAAAUAAAAUGCUAUUCUGAAUAUUCUUUUAGAUUUACUUUCUCUGACAUUGCAUUUAGUAGUCCAAACUGUUAAUUAUGAUUGUUAGAAAAGCCAGCAGCUAAAGAGAUGAUUUUUAUACAUGUGUAAAUACCAAACAUGGAAUACUCUAGUUAUUUAACAUUAAUUUCACAUAUUUUUUAAAACAUAUCGUACAUUUAAAUUCUCCAGAUCUCCAAAUAAGAAUCUGAAGGAUUAGAAGUCACUCAGAGAGCUGCCUUGUUCAGGAGUCAGCAGUCACUAGAGAGCCGCCUUGUUCAGGAGUCAGCAGUCACUCAGAGAGCCGCCUUGUUCAGGAGUUAGCAGUCACUCAGAGAGCCGCCUUGUUCAGGAGUUAGCAGUCACUCAGAGAGCCGCCUUGUUCAGGAGUCAGCAGUCACUCAGAGAGCCGCCUUGUUCAGGAGUUAGCAGUCACUCAGAGAGCCGCCUUGUUCAGGAGUUAGCAGUCACUCAGAGAGCCGCCUUGUUCAGGAGUCAGCAGUCACUCAGAGAGCCGCCUUGUUCAGGAGUUAGCAGUCACUCAGAGAGCUGCCUUGUUCAGGAGUCAGCAGUCAGUCAGAGAGCCGCCUUGUUCAGGAGUCAGCAGUCACUCAGAAGCAGCACUGCUGUCCGUUUCAGCUGUCUUGGUUUCUUUGUCCCUUUGGCCAGUGGGAAGAGCUAGUGACUUAGUGGCUAAGAAGGUACCAAAAUAAAUCCUUGGUGAAAUGACCAGCUUUUAAAAUGUAGUUCUCUACUGUAUUUGAUGGUGUUGAUAUUUGCUGUAAUAACUUUAUAAGAUAAUGAAAGUAUUCAGUAGUUUUAAAUCUUAUUUUACAAAAUUGAAAGCAGGUUUUCAUUUAUAGAAAAGUUGCAAGUUUAGAAAAAGACAUUACCUCUUAAUUUCUCAAACCAUUUGAGAGCUACUGGUUUACUAGAUACCCCACUAUCUACCAGAUACCCUACUUUAGUGUGCAUUUCCUAUAAAGACAUACAUGCUCCCACCUAACUAGAGUAGCACAGUCCAAAUUAGAGAAUUGGUUUGUGGUGAGGAAGGAGGGAGAUCUGACAAGACUGCUCAGUUGAUACAAUGCUUGACUUAUAAGCAUGAUGGACUGAAUUUGAGUCCCAGGACCAUAAUCGAUGGCAAAUGCUUGUAAUCCCAGAGCUGGGGAGACAGAGACAGGAGGAUCCUGGGGCUCCCUGGUCAGCCUGUAUAGUCUGCAUAGCCAGUUCCAUGUCUCAGAAAGAAGCACUGGGAACACCUAAACAGUGAACCCAGGGCUGUCCGAUGAGCCGUCUGCAGAUGUGCGCGUGCACUUGUGUACACUUGAGCCGUCUGCAGAUGUGCACUUGUGUGCACUUGAGCCGUCUGCAGAUGUGCACUUGUGUGCACUUGAGCCGUCUGCAGAUGUGCACUUGUGUGCACUUGAGCUGUCUGCAGAUGUGCACUUGUGUGCACUUGAGCCGUCUGCAGGUGUGCGCGUGCACUUGUGUACACUUGGAGGCUUUAAGCUGCCUUUCUCAUUUCAAGCUGUCUUCGGACAUCCAUUUUAAGAUGGGUUGAUCAUCACAGAAGCAGUGGGUCUGUCCUAAGCUUUGCUUCAUUUGGAAGCAGAGUUGUCUAUGGUCCCUGGAGAGUUCAGUCAUCCCCACAGUGGGCACAAUAGGUAUGUCUGUCUCAUAGGAGAUUUUGAAGGACUGAAUGAGUUAAUAUACAUUAAACAUUUAGAGUGGGGAUUCUGGAGCAAAGAAAGGACUCACUGGUUAGUAGAAAUUUCUUUGAAUUAGUUAAUUCAUGUGUUCUUAGUCCUGAUUUUUGUUCCCUCAAUAUUUAAGAUACAGAGAUUUCUAAACAACCCCCCCCCAAAAAAAAAUUCAGAACCAUAUCUACAUGGCUCUGGAGUGUUUUAAUUUUUAUGCUUUAGUAUGUAGGUUUUUCUAUUGUUACAUAUAAAAUUAUCACAUUUAGUAUAUCAUGCAACAUAUUUAUUUGCUCAUUAUUCUCUAGGUCACAAAGCAGGCUCUGUGUUGUAUGUUCUCUGUUCAGUGUUUAUAAAGUUGAAACCAAAAGUUUGUCUGGAGCGGAUUUUCUCUUGAAGUUCUGGGAUACAUGUGCUUCUGAGUACAUUCGUGCCCCCUUGUGUUGUGAGAAUGAAGUUUCAUGGCCCUAGUGACUGACGGUACCUUUCCCUCGAGCCUCCUAGGAAAGGAAGGUCAUUGGUCACCUCCAUCUACAAGCCAGCGGCAAGGCUUGAGUUCCCCUGUAACCACUGCCUCCCGUGAGCAACCAGAGAAGUCUCCUGGGAUUAACUCUGACCACCCAGUAAUCUUCCCUGUCUAACAACCUCUGGGACCUUCAUUUCGUCUGCACGGCUGCUCCCAGAUUAGUAUUUUAUUGAACUGGGAGGCAAUGUGGUCACACUAAGGGGAUUCUAACACAGUUUACAUAUAUCAGACUAUCUCCCAGCAAGUAAUCUUGCCAAUCAUAAUGAAAUUGUGCUGGAAAUCUCACUGGGGAAGAGGUGGGAAUCUUCUUCAUUUGCCUUCCCUGCCUUUACAGCCCUGUCAGUGUUCUAAUAGAUUGUCUGAUCGUCUAAAGCCAUGCAGGUCUCUCC